AAGUCGUAACAAGGUUUCCGUAGGUGAACCUGCGGAAGGAUCAUUAACAAAUGAACCAAGAGCUUAACUGGUCGGUUGUGGAAGGUAGGGGGAAUGGGGGGGAAAAAGAGAGAAAGAGAAACGGGGGUAUAUUUUCCGUUUUUGUUUUUUUUUUUUUUGUUUCUUUUUUCCCUACCUGAGACACGAAAACCACCAACCUUGUGUGCACUCCAUUGGAGUAAAUUUUUUAUUUUUCUUUUUGAAAGGAGGGGAAUAGGGAAGGGGAAUCUUCUCCGUCCUUUAUAAUUUCCUUCUUUCGAGGGAAAAAUAAAAAAAAAAAUUCACUCUUCCAAUAAAAUAAUUAAACCUGAACAAAAAAUAAAUAAAAAAAAACAACUUUCAACAACGGAUCUCUUGGCUCUC
rnacentral:misc_RNA from 1 species